rnacentral:rRNA from 1 species
GACGAACGCUGGCGGCGUGCCUAAUACAUGCAAGUCGAACGCUGAAGGAGGAGCUUGCUCUUCUGGAUGAGUUGCGAACGGGUGAGUAACGCGUAGGUAACCUGCCUGGUAGCGGGGGAUAACUAUUGGAAACGAUAGCUAAUACCGCAUAACAGUAGAUGUUGCAUGACAUUUGCUUAAAAGGUGCAAUUGCAUCACUACCAGAUGGACCUGCGUUGUAUUAGCUAGUUGGUGGGGUAACGGCUCACCAAGGCGACGAUACAUAGCCGACCUGAGAGGGGGAUCGGCCACACUGGGACUGAGACACGGCCCAGACUCCUUAGGGAGGCAGCAGUAGGGAAACUUCGCGAAAGGAGGGAAGGCUGAACGGGCAACGGCGCGGGAGGGAAGGAGGGUCUCGGAUCGUAAAGAUCUGUUGUAAGAGAAGAAAGAGUGUGGGAGUGGACAGUGCACACUGUGACGGUAUCUUACCAGAAAGGGACGGCUAACUACGUG